rnacentral:rRNA from 1 species
UACGGAGGGGACUAGCGUUGUUCGGAAUUACUGGGCGUAAAGGGUGCGUAGGCGGGUCUUUUAAGUCAGGGGUGAAAUCCUGGAGCUCAACUCCAGAACUGCCUUUGAUACUGAAGAUCUUGAGUUCGGGAGAGGUGAGUGGAACUGCGAGUGUAGAGGUGAAAUUCGUAGAUAUUCGCAAGAACACCAGUGGCGAAGGCGGCUCACUGGCCCGAUACUGACGCUGAGGCACGAAAGCGUGGGGAGCAAACAGG